GGGACUCCUCUUAAUGUGCUUCCUAUAUAUAUUAAGUGUAAAAUGAUCACAUCUUCUUUAGAUAAUCUCCAUAAUUGACAUUAGUAAUGAAACAGAGAAAUUGAUGGGUGUAAUAAGGAAGGAAAAGAAGGGGAAGCAACGGGGUAUGAGUGCACUUGCUUGCUUUUGAAUUUCAUUUGGAAUAGAAAAACAAAUUACUUUGUGUUGUUGGGUUUGGCUUGCUUUGUCUAAACAAAUUGGACCCAUAAAUCUCUAAUUUAGAUUUCUGUCUCUCUAUCUUGUAUGUAUCAUUGCUGAUUUGGAAGCAGUUUGAAGAGGUCAUCAACUUUUCCAUCACUAUCUGA
rnacentral:misc_RNA from 1 species